rnacentral:rRNA from 1 species
AGGAAUUGGCGGGGGAGCACCACAAGGGGUGAAGCCUGCGGUUCAAUUGGAGUCAACGCCGGAAAUCUUACCGGGGGCGACAGCAGUGUGAAGGUCAAGCUGAAGACUUUACUCGACAAGCUGAGAGGAGGUGCAUGGCCGUCGCCAGCUCGUGCCGUGAGGUGUCCUGUUAAGUCAGGUAACGAGCGAGACCCCUACUGCUAGUUGCUAUCGCUACUCUCAGGAGUGGCGGGCUAAUUAGUGGGACCGCCGCCGCUGAGGCGGAGGAAGGAGGGGGCUACGGCAGGUCAGUAUGCCCCGAAACCCUCGGGCCACACGCGGGCUGCAAUGGUAAGGACAAUGGGUUUCAAUCCCGAAAGGGGGAGGCAAUCCGUAAACCUUACCACAGUUAUGAUUGAGGGCUGAAACUCGCCCUCAUGAAUAUGGAAUCCCUAGUAACCGCGUGUCAUCAUCGCGCGGUGAAUACGUCCCUGCUCCUUGCACACACCGCCCGUC